rnacentral:rRNA from 1 species
GUGGUAAUGCCGGAUGCUCCAUCACACUGCAUGGUGUGUUGGGAAAGCCUUUGCGGCAUGGGAUGGGGUCGCGUCCUAUCAGCUUGAUGGCGGGGUAACGGCCCACCAUGGCUUCGACGGGUAGCCGGCCUGAGAGGGCGACCGGCCACAUUGGGACUGAGAUACGGCCCAGACUCCUACGGGAGGCAGCAGUGGGGAAUAUUGCACAAUGGGCGCAAGCCUGAUGCAGCGACGCCGCGUGAGGGAUGGAGGCCUUCGGGUUGUAAACCUCUUUUGUUAGGGAGCAAGGCAUUUUGUGUUGAGUGUACCUUUCGAAUAAGCACCGGCUAACUACGUGCCAGCAGCCGCGGUAAUACGUAGGGUGCAAGCGUUAUCCGGAAUUAUUGGGCGUAAAGGGCUCGUAGGCGGUUCGUCGCGUCCGGUGUGAAAGUCCAUCGCUUAACGGUGGAUCCGCGCCGGGUACGGGCGGGCUUGAGUGCGGUAGGGGAGACUGGAAUUCCCGGUGUAACGGUGGAAUGUGUAGAUAUCGGGAAAGAAACA